CCUGUACUACCGAUAACCGUUUGAGAGAAGGGAUGACACAGUAGGAUAAGCUAAGCACACUGUUGGUUAUGUGUGCCCAAGCAUUGAGGCAGUCAAAGUAGGCAAAUCCGCUUUGAUAAUGCUGGGAUGUGAUGGGGAGCGAAAUUUAGUAGCGAAGUAGCUGAUUUCACACUGUCAAGAAAAGUCUCUAUCGAGGUUAAAGGUACCCGUACCGCAAACCGACACAGGUGGGUGAGGAGAGUAUCCUAAGGCCAGCGAGAGAACUGUUGUUAAGGAACUCGGCAAAAUGACCCCGUAACUUAGGGAUAAGGGGUGCCACCAUCAGGUGGCCGCAGAGAAUAGGCCCAAGCGACUGUUUACCAAAAACAUAGGUUUCUGCUAAGUCGCAAGACGAUGUAUAGGAGCUGACGCCUGCCCGGUGCUGGAAGGUUAAGGGGAUCUGUUAGAGCAAUCGAAGCAGUGAACUUAAGCCCCAGUAAACGGCGGCCGUAACUAUAACGGUCCUAAGGUAGCGAAAUUCCUUGUCGGGUAAGUUCCGACCCGCACGAAAGGCGUAACGAUUUGGGCACUGUCUCAACAACAGACUCGGUGAAAUUGUAAUUCCGGUGAAGAUGCCGGAUACCUGCGACAGGACGGAAAGACCCCAUGGAGCUUUACUGUAGCUUGACAUUGGGUCUUGGUACUACAUGUACAGGAUAGGUGGGAGGCUUUGAAACCAGGACGCCAGUUUUGGCGGAGCCAUCCUUGGGAUACCACCCUUGUAGUACUGGGACUCUAACCAUAGGCCAUGAAUCUGGUCUUGGGACACUGUCAGGUGGGCAGUUUGACUGGGGCGGUCGCCUCCCAAAAGGUAACGGAGGCGCUCAAAGGUUCUCUCAGUACGGUCGGAAAUCGUACGUAGAGUGUAAAGGCAAAAGAGAGCUUGAUUGCAAGACAUACAGGUCGAGCAAGGAUGAAAAUCGGACUUAGUGAUCCGGUGGUUCUGCGUGGAAGGGCCAUCGCUCAACGGAUAAAAGCUACCCUGGGGAUAACAGGCUUAUCUCCCCCAAGAGUCCACAUCGACGGGGAGGUUUGGCACCUCGAUGUCGGCUCAUCACAUCCUGGGGCUGUAGUAGGUCCCAAGGGUUGGGCUGUUCGCCCAUUAAAGUGGUACGCGAGCUGGGUUCAGAACGUCGUGAGACAGUUCGGUCCCUAUCCGUCGCAGGCGUAGGAAAUUUGAGAAGACCUGUCCUUAGUACGAGAGGACCGGGAUGGACGUACCUCUGGUGUACCAGUUGUUCUGCCAAGGGCAUGGCUGGGUAGCUAUGUACGGAAUGGAUAAGCGCUGAAAGCAUCUAAGCGCGAAGCCAACUUCAAGAUAAGAUUUCCCACCGCAAGGGUAAGACCCCAGAAAGACUAUCUGGUUGAUAGGUCGAAGGUGUAAGUGCAGCAAUGUAUUUAGCUUAUCGAUACUAAUAGGUCGAGGACUUGACC
rnacentral:rRNA from 1 species